rnacentral:rRNA from 1 species
GCUCAGAACGAACGUUGGCGGCGUGGAUUAGGCAUGCAAGUCGAACGAAUGCCAGUGCUGUAGCAAUACAGUGCUGGCGGAAGUGGCGAAAGGGGCAGUAAGGCAUGGGUAACCUACCCUGGAGUCGGGCAUAGCCAUCCUAACGGAUGGGUAAUUCCCGAUGGCUCAGCGAGGAGACAUCUUCUUGCUGGUAAAGAGUUUCGCUCCGGGAGGGGCCCAUGUGCUAUUAGCUAGUUGGCGGGGUAACGGCCCACCAAGGCUAAGAUGGCUAGCGGGUGUGAGAGCACGACCCGCGCCACUGGCACUGAGACACUGGCCAGACACCUACGGGUGGCUGCAGUCGAGGAUCUUCGUCAAUGGGCGAAAGCCUGAACGAGCGACGCCGCGUGCGCGAUGAAGGCCUUCGGGUUGUAAAGCGCGAAAGUGGGGACGAAAGCUGAAAGGUUUGACUGAUCCACAGUAAGCUCGGGCUAAGUUCGUGCCAGCAGCCGCGGUAAGACGAACCGAGCGAACGUUGUUCGGAAUCACUGGGCUUAAAGGGCGCGUAGGCGGGCACUCAAGUCUAUGGUGAAAUCCGGCAGCUCAACUGUCGAACUGCCGUGGAUACUGGGUGUCUCGAGGGAGGUAGGGGCGUGCGGAACUAAUGGUGGAGCGGUGAAAUGCGUUGAUAUCAUUAGGAACUCCGGUGGCGAAGGCGGCACGCUGGACCUCUUCUGACGCUGAGGCGCGAAAGCCAGGGGAGCAAACGGGAUUAGAUACCCCGGUAGUCCUGGCCCUAAACGUUGGGUACUAGAUAGUAGUCUUCACAUGGGAUUACUGUCGAAGCAAAAGUGCUAAGUACCCCGCCUGGGGAGUAUGGUCGCAAGGCUGAAACUUAAAGGAAUUGAUGG